rnacentral:rRNA from 1 species
UACGAAGGGGGCUAGCGUUGUUCGGAUUUACUGGGCGUAAAGCGCGUGUAGGCGGCCUUGUAAGUUGGGGGUGAAAUCCCGAGGCUCAACCUCGGAACUGCCUCCAAAACUACAAGUCUGGAGCAAGAUAGAGGCAAGUGGAAUUGCGAGUGUAGAGGUGAAAUUCGUAGAUAUUCGCAGGGACACCAGUGGCGAAGGCGACUUGCUGGAUCUUUGCUGACGCUGAGACGCGAAAGCGUGGGGAGCAAACGGG